rnacentral:rRNA from 1 species
UGCGUAGGCGGCGCGGAAAGUUGGGUGUGAAAUCCCUCGGCUCAACCGAGGAAUUGCGCUCAAAACUACCGUGCUCGAGGGAGAUAGAGGAAUGCGGAACUUACGGUGGAGCGGUGAAAUGCGUUGAUAUCGUAGGGAACACCGGUGGCGAAAGCGGCAUUCUGGAUCUCUUCUGACGCUGAUGCACGAAAGCUAGGGUAGCAAACGGGAUUAGAUACCCCGGUAGUCCUAGCCGUAAACGAUGAGCACUGGAUUGAAGGCCCCUCCAUAGGCUUUCAGUCGCAGAGAAAUUGUUUAGUGCUCCGCCUGGGGAGUAUGGUCGCAAGGCUGAA